AUGCAGCGGCACCUAAUGGUGACAGUUGUUAAAGCGGGGGAUCGCAAGACCUCGCGUCUGAAGAGGAGCCUGCGGCGGAUUAGCUAGUUGGUAAGGUAACGGCUUACCAAGGCGAUGAUCCGUAGCCGGCCUGAGAGGGCGGUCGGCCACACUGACACUGACAUACGGGUCAGACUCCUACGGGAGGCAGCAGUCGGGAAUUUUGGGCAAUGGGCGAAAGCCUGACCCAGCAACGCCGCGUGAAGGAUGAAAUCCCUCGGGAUGUAAACUUCGCAAGAACGGGAAGAAUAAGUAAGAGCUAACAUCUCUUACGAUGACGGUACUGUUUGUAAGCUCCGGCUAACUCCGUGCCAGCAGCCGCGGUAAUACGGGGGGAGCAAGCGUUGUUCGGAUUUACUGGGCGUAAAGGGCGCGUAGGCGGCCACCGCAAGUCGACUGUGAAAUCUCUGGGCUUAACCCAGAACGGUCAGCCGAUACUGCGGGGCUAGAGUGCAGAAGGGGCAACUGGAAUUCUCGGUGUAGCGGUGAAAUGCGUAGAUAUCGAGAGGAACACCUGCGGCGAAGGCGGGUUGCUGGGCUGACACUGACGCUGAGGCGCG
rnacentral:rRNA from 1 species